rnacentral:rRNA from 1 species
AUUGAACGCUGGCGGCAGGCCUAACACAUGCAAGUCGAGCGGAUGAAGGGAGCUUGCUCCUGGAUUCAGCGGCGGACGGGUGAGUAAUGCCUAGGAAUCUGCCUGUAGUGGGGGAUAACGUCCGGAAACGGGCGCUAAUACCGCAUACGUCCUGAGGGAGAAAGUGGGGGAUCCUCGGACCUCACGCUAUCAGAUGAGCCUAGGUCGGAUUAGCUAGUUGGUGGGGUAAAGGCCUACCAAGGCGACGAUCCGUAACUGGUCUGAGAGGAUGAUCAGUCACACUGGAACUGAGACACGGUCCAGACUCCUACGGGAGGCAGCAGUGGGGUAUAUUGGACAAUGGGCGAAAGCCUGAUCCAGCCAUGCCGCGUGUGUGAAGAAGGUCUUCGGAUUGUAAAGCACUUUAAGUUGGGAGGAAGGGCAGUAAGUUAAUACCUUGCUGUUUUGACGUUACCAACAGAAUAAGCACCGGCUAACUUCGUG